GAAAUGCGAUAUGUAAUGCGAUUUGCAGAAUUCAGUGAGUCAUCAAAUCUUCGAACGCAGACUGCGCUCUUGGGUAAUCCUGGGAGCACGCCUCUUUCAGGGUCGACAAAACACACGCCAGAAUGAUAUCAUCAUUAUUCAUUCUGGGAAAUUGAGUUGUCUCAGUCUUACUGACUGAGUCACUUGAAACAUUGUGAAAUCGUUAGAUAUCGUGGAAAGAUCAAUUUUUUUACAAAGGUCUCGACGGUUGUUAUGUUCACCCUUCAUGGUGAAUUUUCUACCUGUCGAAGACUGUUUAUUUGGUAUUCAUUCCCUUUCCAACGUUUUUAAUGGAAUUAAGUCUAUUUACUCUUUAGACCUGAGAUGAAGCGAGACUACCCGCUGAAUUUAA
rnacentral:misc_RNA from 1 species